GGAGUGGUGUCUGAGCUGGUCGAAGGAGCACGAUUGGAAAUCGUGUAGGCUGAAAGGUCUCGUGGGUUCGAAUCCCACUCACUCCA
rnacentral:tRNA from 1 species